rnacentral:lncRNA from 1 species
CCCCGGACUAUAUACAGGAACUAUUACAUCUCCAAACAACAACUAGGGCACUACGAUCAGAGGGCAGCCUUAGACUCGAACUGCCACAUGUCCGAACAAAAACGUACGGUGAAAGACAAUUUAAUCGUGCUGCCGCUACCCUAUGGAACAAUCUACCUGUACAAAUUCGUCACUCUUAAUCUGUUCAGUGUUUUAAAAAAACAAUUGAAGACAUAUUUUUACAGACUUGCGUUUAAUAAGCUGUUAUCUUAAUUCUUAUUCCUUUUAUUUGAAAAUGUGCUGUGAUUUUUGUUUUUUUGUUUUCUUCGUACAAUUUUUAUUCUAGCAAAAGUUU